GCGUGCUAAGGUAGCGUAAUAAAUAGCCUUUUAAUUGGAGGCCAGUGAAUGGCAAGACUAGGAAUACCUGUACCCUUUAUGAAAAAAAAACUUUUCAUCUGAGUGAAAAGACUCAGAUAGCGAAGGAAGACGAAAAGACCCCGCGGAACUUUACCUUUUCCAGCCCCAGCUGCCCACAAACACAAAAGGCAAAAGGUUUGAUUGGGGCAAUCUCGGAACAACCAAGCUUCCGAUUCUACUUAAGUAAACAUCCAUAACCCGAUAAGGACAAAAAAGAAGUUACCCCGGGGAUAACAGCGUAAUCCAGCUCAAGAGUACACAUCGAAAGCUGGGUUUGCGACCUCGAUGUUGGCUUAAGGACAUCCACAUCAGUGCAACCG
rnacentral:rRNA from 1 species